rnacentral:rRNA from 1 species
ACUCAAAUGAAUUGACGGGGGCCCGCACAAGCGGCGGAGCAUGCGGAUUAAUUCGAUGCAACGCGAAGAACCUUACCUGGGUUUGACAUACGCCGGAAAGCUCUAGAGAUAGAGCCCCUUUUAGUCGGUGUACAGGUGGUGCAUGGCUGUCGUCAGCUCGUGUCGUGAGAUGUUGGGUUAAGUCCCGCAACGAGCGCAACCCUCGUUCCAUGUUGCCAGCAACUCUCUUCGGAGGGGUUGGGGACUCAUGGGAGACUGCCGGGGUCAACUCGGAGGAAGGUGGGGAUGACGUCAAGUCAUCAUGCCCCGUAUGUCCAGGGCUUCACGCAUGCUACAAUGGCCGGUACAAAGGGCUGCGAUCCCGUGAGGGGGAGCGAAUCCCAAAAAGCCGGUCUCAGUUCGGAUUGGGGUCUGCAACUCGACCCCAUGAAGUCGGAGUCGCUAGUAAUCGCAGAUCAGCAACGCUGCGGUGAAUACGUUCCCGGGCCUUGUACACACCGCCCGU